CCUGACCUUGUGAUACGCCCACCUUGGCCUCCCAAAGUGCUGGGAUUACAGGCGUGAGCCACCGCGCCCAGCCCUCUGUGCUGGGUUUUAUGUCGUCCAAUAACUCACAACUAUGUAAUUUAUUUCCUUUUUACAGAUAAAGAAAUGGGGGCUCAGAGCAGUCAAGAACAUGCCCCAAGUUAUUCGUCAGUGAGGCGGAAAUUGUGGUGUCCUUGUGUUUGUUCACAUAUUGUCAUUACAUACCAGAGCACACCUUCAUUUAAAACACAUCAAGACUCCGUGAAAUGUCAAUUGCUCCAAGUGGAAGACUUACCUGAAAUGCUAUGAGAUAGCACAAUGCAGCCAGCUCAGAAAGAGCUCGCCAUUGAACAUUAUUACCAUGCUGACCCAUCUUCAAGAGCAGAGAACCAGCAUGCAUGUAGAAAUGUCCUUUCAUUUCUAAGAAAGUAGCUGACAGUUCAUCAUUUCCACCCAAAGAAGAUUUCGCAGACUGAAGAGCACUAUCAAAACUGUAAUAUGAAAAUAUCAAACAGAUGAUACACACUUACUGCACUGUGAAUAAUCAUGGUUCAUUUAAUUCAAAACAAAAUAAAAAUUUUAUUUCAAGCUUCA